CUGUUCUGAGGCCAAAAGGAGGAGCAACUGAAUAUUAGGAAGUGUGGACCAUCUACGCCCUAGCUGCACUCCUGACUCUGACAGUCAUAGCCAUGGUGGCUAAACUACUACUGCAUAUUACAGUGAAAAGUGAUGUAACAUGGAGAUAUGGCCGUGUGGGAACACAAACCCUAACCAGCCUGGUCACCUGUGAGCUGCAAGUCAAUAUUCAACGUCCAUCCAUUUCUGAUGUCAGGAGAUGAUGUAAAAACCGUCCACUAGGGGUAAAUGAGCGUUGUUAUCUUCAAGAAGUUUUCAGUUUUGCUCGAGCGUUCUGAACAGGGAUGGCGGAUGGCGUAAGCGACUGCCUCUGAUUCCAAAGGUUGUAAAUUCAAAUCCAGCGAUAGAAAGUUGUUUUUGAGAAUAAAAAAAUUAAGCCUAACCCAAA